rnacentral:tRNA from 1 species
CAAAGUGUAGCUUACACUAAAGCGUCUGGCCUACACCCAGAAGACUUCAUAGACAUGACCGCUUUGA